CCGUGGUAUGGUUAGAAAGCUGCCUUGAUCAUAAUGGCAGCUUGCUGCCAUCCAUGUAU
ensembl:miRNA mdo-mir-7391 mdo-mir-7391